rnacentral:lncRNA from 1 species
UUCUACUCGUCACACUCCGGUAAAUCUAGCGUGAGCAAGCAAUUUCAUACAUAAGCACUCAUGCAAAAGAAUCGAAGAAAAGAUCUCGGAAAACUUCGAAAACAAGAAAACAACUCUUGCAACAGAAAACAAUUUCUAACAGUUCCAAAAUUAAGUGAAUUUGGACUUAUCAUAAAGUUUAGGUCAAGAGCUUUGAUUUGCAAAAAGAAUCAACUCAAACGGAGUUAUAAAACUGUAGUUAUGAUCAAACGAAGUUCGAAUACAAAUCUGUUUGAAUUCAAAUUUUAAAACUAUCAAAAACAUGUUUGAGUUGGAUUACUGGAUAGAGGGGAUCAUAACAAAGAGGUGGGCGUUGGUUUCGUUGGAUUUGGACAAACGAGCGAAAAGUAGCGCACGUUUGAAGAUUAGGGACUAAUCUAUAAAUAAAAGAUUCACGGAAGGGUCCCUAGCCGAAAUUAAACAGAAAAAAGAAAAAUCUACCGGACGAACGUCCGCUAUGAAAACCUAACGAACGGAUUCGUUCGCUGCGAAGAGAUAAAUAGCGAGCGUUCGCUAUUUAGAGAAUAACGGUUCGAAAUAAAAAAACUAACAUAUCUAAUCCUAGCCCUAGGUCUACGAUCGGACGGGCGUGGGCGGCUGGUGGCUUACCGCGGCGGCGGCGAUUGUUGGCGGCGAAGAAGACGGUGGCGGCGGUGGCGUCUGUGAGCGAGGAGGCAGUCUCGGGCGUUGGCAGAGAAGGCGGAGUAGCUGGGGAGGGGCGGCGAUGACGACGGUGGUGUCGACGAGGGUCGACGACGGCGGUGGGGCGCGGGGCAACGGCGGCAGAUCUCGUCGGAGCUCGAGCUCUGGCGAGGUUUGUGUGAGGCUGCAGGAGGUGAUGGUGGCUAAGGUUCGAGGAAAAAGAGGCCGGGUGCCCCGAGUAUUUAUACAGGGUCUUCAUGGAGGAGGGGCUAGGCUCGGGGUAGAGUCACGGACGGAUUCAGUCGGUGGCCGGCGAGACGUGGACGCGCGGGACUCCGACGCGAGGAUGAAGAUGACCCUGACAAGCGGGAUCCACCUGUCGGCGGCUGAGGCCGAGCGGGAGAGAGAGAGAGGGCCGCGGUGCGGGCGCGUACCGCCUUGUGCGUUGGCUAGGCCAUGGGCCGAAAGGCCUGUCGGGCCGGCUGGCUAGCGCCAUGACGCGGGAAGUGUUUUUUUUAUUUGAACCGAGAGAAAAAGAAAAGAAAGAGAAAGAAUAUAAAAUAUUAUAUAGGCAUAUAGUAUAUCAAAAUUUUCAGAGAAAUAUUUUCUACAACAUGAACAUUAUUCUAGCUUCAAAUAAAAUGCACAAAAUUUUAAAUAAAACAAACAGUGCUACAACUCUAAUAAAAUCCAAUAAAAAACAUUUUAAAAUAUACCAAAAUUAUUUCAAUUUUAUUUCUCUCCAAUUCUAUGAUGUAGGGAAUCAUGUUACCCUAUUUUCCAUAUAUUUUAUGUUUGGAGAAAAAUAAUUUAAAUAAAACCAACUAACUCCAAAUUGAAAAUAAAUUUCAAAGGGACUUUAAAUUUGAUUCUUUGAAACUUCCAACUCAUAUUUCAUAUGUUUGAGGAAGUCAUUUUAUCUUCUCUCAUGAAAAUCAUUGAGUUGCUUAAAGUUUCUGAAUUUGAAAUAGUUCCAAAUGGAAUUCAAAUAUUUUCAAAACCCUUUUCAUUUAUUUAAAUGAAAGAAGUCAUAUCAUCACUCCAGGGUUUUGUGAUGAAAAGUAUUUGAAAUCACGGAGAUCAUAAAUUCAAAAUUGAAAUUUUAGGGAAAGUCAUUUUAUUCCCUCUCAUUUAACUUUCAAUAAGUUUCAAAUUUCACUCAAUUUCACACAAUCAAUCAAAUAAUCAAUCAUAACUAUCUAUUUAAUAUAACAUUCCAAAAUUUAGAAUUUUGGGAUGUUACAAACCUACCACCCUUAAAAUGAAUCUCGUCCUCGAGAUUCGGAGAGGCUAGAAAGAAAUAGAUUAGGUUUGGGGGUCUUCUCAAAAUCCAUCGACCGUCUCCGGGGUCUCGGGUGCUACCACCCUUAGAAGCAUUGAUACGGUUCCAUCAAAAUUCAUAUACUCCUUCCUUAUUGUUGACAGGGUCGGUCUUCUCAUAUUCUCGAAAAAAUUCCUUCUCUGGCUCUUCCGGUAGCUGCAUAACCUUUUCCUCAAUUCUUCUGUCCUUUCAUCUUGGUAUGGUUAUUCCGAGACUGGGUCUUCUUAGCUGACGGGUCUAGCGCCAAUACUAAUUAACUAUUGAUAUCUCAUGGUGGUCAUCAAUUUAUGGUUUCUCCUGCAGGAAAUGGGUCUAGGCUUCAUUCUCACCAUAUGGCCUACGAUUGGCAACAGCUACCUUGUAUAAGGGAAAAAAUUGUCAGACCAUUCUAAGCUUUAAACAAGGUUUUGAUCGUCGUCGCUCUGCUAUGGGUAAGUCACUCAGAUUUACCAUCCCAUAUAUCAAGGCAAAUAAUAAGAGUAAGUCGGUAUGGUGAUCAAUCCAUCCCGCACCCAAAUCAUUACCUUGUAUAUAGUUUAGCGAAUCUCGCAUUCUAACACUCGGUCAUCCUCACAAGCAUUGCAGAAUUUCUCUUGUCGAUGAACUAAGUCCGGAUAUAUCCAUUGAUUCUACAAGACAAACAAACAUCUAUCAUUCCUUCACAACUCUCAGGUUUAGCGUAACUCCUAUAAGAUCGUCAGUGGAUAAGGUCGUUGUAAGUGCAUCUAGUGCCACCCCUAGUUGGUUUUGGAGUAUUGAUGACAAACCGGGUUGAGGGACUAAUGUGUUUGUGAGAAUUGCAGGAUAACACAGGUAGUAGUCCCUCAUUGAUUCAGUUUACCUACCGGAGAUGACCCCUAAAAAUGUAUGAAGACAUUGAAGACAAAGGUGGUAUGUGAAGAUAUUCACAUUGAAGACUAUGACAUGAGAAGACAUCACGUGAAGACUAUGGAGUGCGAAGACUUAGUUGUUUCGUUGUUUCCUUUUCUUCUGUGUUGAGUCAUAGGAACCACCGUACUGUUAAGUGGGGUCCUAGUGAACAAAGUCAGAGUGACUGAAGUGAUGCUCAACCAAAAUCCUAUGUCUUCGAGCGAAGACAAUGAGAGCAAAUCUUAUCCAGAGCUGGAUGAGUCAGCUUUACUUGUAGCCCAAGUCAAGCUGCCGCGUGUGUUUGAAAUCUGACCGUUGGAACACGUGUCAGUUCCUUAGUGACCCAGGGUCAUUUCAGAAAAAUCAGGUCGGGUUUCCUAGUGGCUAUAAAUAGCCCACCCUCUACACCAUAAAUUGGUGGCUGCUCAGAGUUAGUGCACGACUUUUGUCGUUUGAGAGCAACCCACCUCCGAAGCUUUUGAGAGAGAGAAAUCCUUGCGAGGACAAAGCGCAAACACCCAGAGCCAAAGAGUGUUAGGCAUCACUGAAGUCUUUCUGUCCGCGUGAUCUGAAGACUUGUUACACUUGAGGACCGUGAAUCCGCCAGCCGGUUAGGCGUCGCGUUCUGAGCAUCCAAGAGUCAUUGUGCAUCGCCAGUGAACGAAUUCUAUGAAGGUUUGGAAGUCUACCUUGAAGACUUACUAGAGUGAUUGGGCGAGGACUGGGUGUCCUUAGCUCAAGGGGAAUAAGGUGAAGACACGGUCUUCUGAGUUAAAUCUCAGCCUCCCUAACCAGACGUAUAGUUGUCACAGCAACUGGAUCUGGUCCAACAAAUCCUUGUCCUCACCAAGCGACUGGUUCUAUCUAUUCCCUCUCUUUAUUUACAGUUUGUCUUCAUGAAGUCAUUGCUUGCCUGUGUUACCUAUUUGACUUCACUGUGUGACUUCUAUUGUUAUUUGGCUUCAUACUAUCUUCCAUCCUGAUCAUUACUAUCUAGCUGCUAUUAGUCUUCGUGCUUUCACUUCAUUGAAUACAUGACUAUGGCUUGCAUAGUGUAGUCUUCCUUCCGCUACAUGUUGAUAGGUUCAUUUCUAUCGUUUGUCUUCGAAACUCCCAUGUUUUGAACACUUUCAUAAAAAUCGCCUAUUCACCCCCCUCUAGUCGAUAACUAGCACUUUCCAUUGGUAUCAGAGCAAGGUACUCCCUUGUUCUGUGUGAUUCGGUUUAACAACCUGGAGUUUUAGCUAUGUCGACUGCAGGGAUAAUCAAAGUCUCCGCUGCGUGCCCCGUCUUCGAUGGAACUGAAUAUCCCUACUGGAAGAAUAAUAUGCGCAUGCAUCUUUAAGCCAUUGAUGUCGACCUCUGGUAUGUCGUCAAGAAUGGUGUUCCCAAGACUAGUAAGGUGUCACCCCUGCUGAUGUCAAGAAGUUCAUUCAACUGGAUUCUACUGCCAAGAACAUCAUGUGUGGUCAUCUGACCAAAGGACAGCAUGGCCGUGUGAGUGCUCUGGAAACGUCGAAGCUAGUCUGGGACUGGCUCUCCAAGGUCAACGAAGGCGUCUCAACCCAGAGAGAUCAAAGGAUCAGUGUUCUUCGCAACCUCUUCAACCGCUUCAAUAGAAACGACAAUGAGAAUGUCCAUCUCACGUUUGAUUGCCUCACUGACAUCACAAAUGAGCUUCGUGCUCUCGGCGCCACUGAGAUCACCAAGCAUGAAAUCGUCAAGACACUCUUGAGAUCACUUGAUAGCUCGCUCGACACCCUUGCCCUGAUGAUACAAUAACGCCCUGACUUCAAGACACUAGAUCCGUCUGACAUACUAGAGAGGCUCAACACACAUGAGUUCCAGCUAUCUGAGAAAAGAGAUAUCUAUGGUCCCAACUAUGGCCGAACUCGCGCUUUGAAGGCAAAAGCUGUUUCCUCAUCUGAAGAAGAAUCUGACUGUAGUUCUGGUGAUCCUGAAGACAUUGGAAAGGAGCUUGCUAUGCUUGUGAAGAAGUUCCAGAAGUUCACUAAGAAGAAGGGCUUCAUAAAGUCUUCACGAUCCAGCUCAAGAAAUGAUGAAGCUUCCACUCAUGAUUACAAGAAGAGAACAUGUCACAAGUGCAAGAAACCUGGACACUACAUCUCUAAGUGUCCACAGUGGGACAAUGAGAAUAAGAAGAAGAAGAAGAGCAAGGAAUAUGAUUCUGAUGACAAGAAGAAGAAGAAAUCUUCAAAGUCUUCUUCCAAGUCUUCGUCCAAGUCUUCAUCACACAAGAAGAGCUCAUCUGGCAAGGCUCGUGCUUUUGUAGGCAAGACGAUGGAUUCAUAGGAGGAGUCUGCUUCUGAGGAGGCGGAGGUGGAGUCUGAGGAGGAGUCCGACUCUGGCGUUGCAAGUCUGGCUCUAGCUACAGCCUACAUUGCCAAGUCCAUCUUCAACACUGAAGACAAUGGCCCCGUCACCAACGCUGAUGCUAAUGACAAGGACGACUCUGCUCCCACCUACUGCUUCAUGGCAUGUGGUGCCAAGGUAAAAUCACGCGUUGCCUACUUUUAAACAUCAAGUGAAGAUGACUCUGAUUGUGAAUCCAAACCCAGCUACAAAACACUUGCUAAAAUUGCAACUGAACAACAGAAAGCUAUGGAACAUACUCAAAAACUGUUAGACAAAAGCGAUGACCUAUUGGACGCGGAAAUGACCCGAUCUCAGUCCUUAAUUGAAGACAUAAAAAAUCUUCAUGUUAAGUACCAGGAACUUGAAAGUCGUCAUGAAACGCUCUCAACGAAUCAUGAAAAUCUUUCCUAUGAUUAUCUUCAAAGGAAGCAAGAACUUGAGAAGUUGAGAGUGGCUCAUGAACAUCUUCAAAAGGAGAAUGAGUCACUUCACGCUCAACAGAUCAGUCCCGCUCAGGAAGGAUUUGAACCACCAUGUCUAAAUGCCUUGAGCGUGAUAACGCUACUUCUAUUGCUGAAUGUUCUACUGCUGCUACUGUUGCAAUAUCAUCAACUGUUGAUGUGGUAACUAAACCCUCUUCUGAGGACCACUACUAUUGCUUAUGAAAAUGCUAGGUUGAAGACCUUGCUUGAAACAGGGAUGUACAAAAGUCUCAAAGGGCAUCAGACACUGUGCGAUGUCCUCAAAAAGCAGAUUCUGAAUUGAAACCCUAGGAAAGAGGGUGUUGGGUUCGAGAGGAAAAUGAAUGUUGAUGGUUCCUACUGGAAGCCUGAGCAGUACCCCAAGACCACAUGGGUUGCUGCAAAGGGGCCUUCAAUGGAUCCAUCCACUUUAUCUGGCUUCACUUGUGCUAACCCAGUUAUCAUUGAUGAAUCCUUUGAUGCAAACUAUAAACUGUUUAAGAAUCAGAAUGGUGAAGUGUUCGCCAGGUAAAUUGGUACUAACUACAGGAAUGGGCCACCUAUGAAGAAGAUCUGGGUUCCCAAAAGUUGUCUUGAGAAUCUUCCUGUGAAUGUCAUCAUGACACCGCCUGGGAAGAAGACAAAUCCCAGACCAAAAGCUUCAUAUGGUCCAAAGGCUUCAUACAGAUACAGGACUCACCUGAGUCACCCUAAUACCAAUGUUUUGCAGGGAAAUCAUACUCAAACUUAUGAAUAUGAGCGUGUUUCAUCAAACUGCUAUGUUCAUAAAACUAAGAACUUCUCUUCUUAUUAGUAUGAGUAUCAUUCAUCUCCUGCAAGGCUAUUUGCUAGGGCUCCAAAGCCGAAGUUCUCAGAUGCUGCACUUAGACUCAUUGCUUCUAAGCCACCCCUGAAGAUGUGGGUGGUUAAGAAGAAUUAACUUUCUUUUGCAGGGAAAGGUCUCCAGCCGGAAAUCAAAGGCGUCUGAUGCUAAUGCUGGGGACCUAAAACAUCUUGUAGGGCACAAGAUAAAAUGCCCAAAUGGUCUUACUAUGUAUUUUGUUCCUGAAUCGCUUGCCAGUCAUCCUAUCAGUCCUAACCUUGAUCUGAGCUUUGAUAAUCCUCUUGUGCAUCAAAUGUUUAUGCUUCACAAUACUCUUGGUGAAGCCUAUCCCCCUAAAUGUACUGUAGGGUAUGACACCUCAUGCUUCAGAAUGGAUUAUGGACAGCGGAUGCACUAAUCAUAUGACUGGUAAUCGAGGUCUUCUCAUGGACUCAACUUUACGUCCAUCUGACAAAAGUCACAUCACAUUUGCUGACACUAGUAAAAGCAAGGUAUGGGUCUAGGUAGAGUUGCAAUCUCAAAGGAUCAGCACAUGGAUAAAGUGAUGCUUAUUGAAUCCCUUGGUUUCAACUUAAUGUCUGUCUCAAUGCUUUGCGAUCUGAACAUGAUUGUGAUAUUUGGAAAAUAUUGUUGUCUUGUACUAAUGGAAUCUGACAAGUCUCUAGUCUUUGAAGGGUAUCGGAAAGAUGAUUUGUACAUGGUAGAUUUCUCAGCAGGACCACAGCUUGCCGCAUGUCUUCUAGCAAAAGCUUCAGAGUGCUGGCUCUGGCAUCGGAGCCUAGGGCAUGCUGGCAUGAGGAACUUGCAUACGCUUGCAAAGAAGAAACACGUCAUAGGAAUCGAGGGCGUCAAGUUCAAGAAGGAUCACUUAUGGGGUGCCUGUGAAGCUGGAAAGAUGACAAGGGCCAAGCAUCCCUCGAAGACAAUCAUGACGACAUCUCAACCCUUCGAGCUGCUACACAUGGACUUAUUUGGCCCUACUCACUACUCUACUCUCACUACUACUGCUUGUCUCUAUGGUUUCGUCAUUGUUGAUGAUUAUUCAAGAUAUACUUGGGUGCACAUAAUUCUCUACAAGACUAAAGUGCAGGAUGUAUUCAGACGCUUCGCCAACCGUGCCAUGAACAACUAUGGCGUCAAGAUCAAGCAUAUCAUAAGUGACAACGGCACAGAGUUCAAGAACACCAGCCUCAACCUUUACUUGGAUACAUUGGGAAUCACUCAUGAGUUCUCAGCUCCGUACACACCUCAGCAAAAUGGCAUCGCGGAGCGCAAGAACAGAACACUCAUUGAGAUGGCUCAGACGAUGCUCGAUGACACAAGACUCCAAGAAAAUUCUAGCCUGAAGCCAUUGAUACUGCAUGUCACAUCAUCAACCAUGUUUAUCUUCACAAGGUUCUAAAGAAGACAUCCUAUGAACUCCUAACUGGUAAGAAGCCAAAUGUCAGUUACUUCAAAGUAUUUGGUGCUAGGUGCUGGAUCAAGGAUCCACAUCACACUUCAAAAUUUGCACUGAAAGCACAUGAAGGAUUUAUGCUUGGUUACGGAAAGGAUUCGCACUCCUACAGAGUCUUCAACCUCUUUCACUAUAAAGUGGUUGAAACUGUGGAUGUGCGAUUCGAUGAGACUAACGGCUCACAAAGAGAGCACCUAGUGAAUCCAUCAAGCUUAUGGGAACUGGAGAAAUCAUACCGUCUGAAGCACAACCUGAAGAGGAACUUAUCAUUUCUGCACCUAAUCAACCUGAAGACAAUGCUCAGCCUGAAGACAAUCCUCCUAACGAUGAUAAUGAUCAGCAAGAGCAAAAUCUUCGUCCAGUUCAUCCUCGUGUUGCAAAUGAAGUAUAGAUUGAGAAGAUAAUUGAUCGCAUCAAUGCGCCUGGUCCACUCACUUGUUCAAGAGCAACACAGCUAACAAAUUUCUAUGGGCACUUUGCAUUUGUCUCAAUAUCAGAACCCAAGAAAGUUGCUGAAGCCUUCAUGGAACCUGAAUGGAUUCAAGCUAUGCAAGAAGAGCUUCAACAGUUCAAGCUGAACAAUGUCUGGGAACUUGUCAAGCGUCCUAACCCUCGCAAGCACAACAUAAUAGGCACCAAAUGGAUAUAUCGCAACAAGCAAGAUGAGCAUGGUUAAAGUCAUCAGAAACAAGGCUCGUCUCGUUGAUCAAGGAUACACUCAAGUGAAGGGAUAGACUUCGAUGAAACAUUUGCUCCUGUGGCUAGGCUUGAAGCCAUUCGCAUAUUGCUAGCAUACGCAAAUCAUCACAACACCCUUCUGUAUCAAAUGGAUGUGAAGAGUGCCUUUCUCAACGGCAAGAUUGAAGAAGAAUUGUAUGUUGCACAACCUCCUGGCUUUGAAGAUCCAAAACAUCCUGAUAUGGUAUACAAGCUUAACAAGGCACUGUAUGGCCUCAAACAAGCCCCUCGCGCUUGGUAUGACACACUCAAAGACUUCUUGAAGAGCAAAGGCUUCAAACCUGGUUCCCUGGAUCCCACACUCUUCACCAAGACAUAUGAUGGUGAACUGUUUGUGUGCCAAAUAUAUGUGGAUGACAUUAUCUUCGGCUGCACCAACCAAAAAUACAGUGAUGAGUUUGGACACACGAUGCAAGAGCAAUAUCAGAUGUCCAUGAUGGGUGAGCUGAAGUUCUUCCUUGGUCUUCAAAUUCAUCAGCAAAGCAAUGGCAUCUUCAUAUCUCAAGAGAAAUAUCUCAAAGAUUGCCUGAAGAAGUUUGGAAUGCAAGACUGCAAAGGUUACACGACGCCAAUGCCAACCAAGAGCCAUCUGAGUCCUGACGCCAAUGGUAAAGAGUUUGAUCAAAAGGUAUACUGCUCCAUGAUUGGUUUUUUACUUUAUUUAUGUGCAUCUAGGCCAGAUAUCAUGCUUAGUGUUUGCAUGUGUGCUCGAUUCCAAGCGACACCAAACGAAUCGCAUCACUUAGCUGUGAAGCAAAUUCUUCGAUAUUUGGCUUACACCCCAACAUUAGGAUUAUGUUAUCCAAAGGGCUUAGAAUUUGAUCUAGUUGGAUUCUCGGAUGUUGAUUAUGCUGGUGACAAGGUGGAUCGCAAGUCUACAUCAGGCACAUGUCACUUUCUGGGACGAUCACUUAUCUGUUGGUAUUCAAAGAAGCAGAACUGUGUAUCACUCUCCACUACUGAAUCUGAAUAUAUUGCUGCUGGAUCUUGCUGUGCUCAGCUUCUAUGGAUGAAGCAAACACUCAAUGACUAUGGCAUCCAUCUGAAGCAAGUACCACUCUACUGCGACAAUGAAAGCAUCAUCAAGAUUGCCAACAACCCAGUUCAGCACUCGAAGACAAAGCACAUUGAAAUUCAUCAUCACUUCCUCAGAGAUCAUGUUAUGAAGGAAGAUAUUGAUGUCAUUCACAUCAACACUGAAGAGCAAUUGGCAGAUAUCUUCACAAAGCCCUUGGAUGAGAAAAGGUUUUGCAAGUUGAAGUGUGAGCUAAAUAUCUUGGAAUCCUCGAAUGUCCUGUGAUCAGGCACCCAUCCUAACACUUAUGCAUGUUGAUGACUUAGAUGUGCAACACAUGAAGUAAUGUAUAUCUUCAAUCAAUGAACACUUACACUCUGAGUGUGAAUACAUUAAUGCAGAAUUUGACUUCGGAGCGCCACGAUAAUUGUGCGCCGUGUCUGGGUCUAAUACUUCCUAUACGGUGGGUAACGCCACCACCAAACUUUUGUUUGGAAUGUUUUCUCUUGGCGUUACAUUUGUUGAGUCUUCGCAUUUGAUUUAUCUUCAGCAUUGAUUUGUCUUCAUGUUUAUCUUCACAAUGUUGAUUUGGUCUUAUUCUGAUAUAUACAUAUAUUAGUGUUCUGUCCUCUACAACAUUCACUUAUAGCUAUGUCUUCUUUGUUGAAUCUUUUAAACUAAGUGAAUGUGAUCGGACCCUACCCUCUCUAUGCUUCUACCUCAAACUCUAUCUAUCCAAAUCAUAUGCAUUCUGCUGAAACUGUCGAAUGUCUUCUCUGCGUCCUUGUCAGUAGAAGAUACAGAGACAAACAUUAAUUCUGUUUUAAAUGCUCAAUCCUUAUUGCCUGAAACCCGGAGAAGCCGGAACGACCACCCGACAGUCCAGGGGUGCGUGGGAACAUGGAACAACUUCCAAUGUGUUGCAUGUUCGCCACGUGUCCCUCAGAUGUGAACCGCUAGGGGCACCUGCGUAAUUGCGUUGUGCCGUCCCUCUCCCUAUAAAUGCACAUCCCAGGCUGCAUCAGGCUCUGACCUCUUUGGUGUGAAGUUCUACGCUCCAUGGAUUAUGCGUCUUAUCAAGCUUCACUCUGCCGUCAACUAUCAGCCUUCUGCACGCAACCAUCUGAUAUUUUUGCCAGAGGUUGAUAUGUCAGUUGAAGCCAUAUACCCAGAGCCUGCCAAGGAGCCUGUUUGUCUUCACAAUGUUGAUCACCAAAGCUUCACACAACCCAUUGAAGGAGUUCAGGCCGUCACUCGUGUUUAUCCUUUGGCUGGCAAUACACGCUUCCCUCACCGUGCCCAUACUGAAGCCACUGAAAGCACUAUUGCUCAAAGGCCUCGGAAGUGAUCUCGUGUUCUCAAUGACCGAGAGCUUCUCGUUGCCCUGCAUCAGAAACAGGAUAAGCAUCACUACUGGCUGAAGCGGCAGAUGCAAAGCCUCUUGGUGGACGUCAAUCACAUUCGCAACCUUGCCACCAAGAAUGCAUUUGUCACUCAUGAAACCUGUUGGAGUUCAUGGAAGAGUUUGACUUUGCUCAGUGCUGAAGCUGAUCUUCAAGACGAUGGCUUCACUGAAAGAUUCAAGUUUGACUCCACUCCUCCAAGGAAUGCUGUCUUGUGUCGCACUCCCUCUCUUGAAGACUCUGACUAUUACUCAUCAGGUGCAACGGUGAGUGCAAGAUUCAUUGAUGACCAAGAUGAUGCUACUUCACCACCUGCAACGUCGGCGCGUAUCGACACUGCACCAAGUUCUUCUGCACCACCAAACCUCAAUGAUGACCCUGCUUUUUAACCUACUCCUCAUGGGAACGAGUAGAGACUCUAUUUCUUCAAACCUUUUUGGUCCUUACUGACAAAAGGGGGAGAAGCAUAUGAGUUGAUAGUCUUCAAGUUGGUCCAUAUGGCUGGUUGCUUUAUAUAUUUUGCCAAGUGUUUACAACUCUCGCUUUUGAUACAUUUGGUUCUUUGAGUUGUAACACUUAAACUUGAUGGUCGUCUGCUACUUGUUUGCUAUUAUGUGAUGCGAUGAUAAAUUCCGCAUGUGCGAUGAUAAAUCCCGCACGAAGUCAUAUUGCAGACGUCCAUUUUCCAUUAUGCAUGUUAUUAUCUUCGUUAUAUCAAAUCAUGCAUGAUGAAUUGUCUUCAUAAGUUGAAGAGGAUCUCCACAAGUACAACCUGCCAUGUGCAUUUGCAUUCCAAAAGCAAAUUACUUAUAUGCACAUCUUCAAGGGGAGCCUUUUGCUACUUAUGAAUACAAUACCUUAAUCCUCUACAAUUUCACAUACUUUUAUCCCCGUUGAAAACUUCAACCAGUUUGUCAUCAAUCACAAAAAAGGGGGAGAUUGUAAGUGCAUCUAGUGCCACCCCUAGGUGGUUUUGGAGUAUUGACGACAAACCUGGUUGAGGGACUAAUGUGUUUUUGAGAAUUGCAGGAUAACACAGGUAGUAGUCCCUCAUUGAUUCGGUUUACCUACCGGAGAUGACCCCUAAAAAUGUAUGAAGACAUUGAAGACAAAGGUGGUAUGUGAAGAUAUUCACAUUGAAGACUAUGACAUGAGAAGACAUCGCGUGAACACUAUGGAGCGUGAAGACUUAGUUGUUUUGUUGUUUCCUUUUCUUCUGUGUUGAGUCAUAGGAACCACCGUACUGUUAAGUGGGGUCCCAGUGAACAAAGUUAGAGUGACUGAAGUGAUGCUCAACCAAAAUCCUAUGUCUUCGAGCGAAGACAAUGAGAGCAAAUCUUAUCCAGAGCUAGAUGAGUCAGCUUUACUUGUAGCCCAAGUCAAGCUGCCGCGUGUGUUUGAAAUCUGACCGUUGGAACACAUGUCAGUUCCUUAGUGACCCAGGGUCAUUUCGGACAAGUCAGGUCGGGUUGCCUACUGGCUAUAAAUAGCCCCCCCCCCUACACCAUAAAUUGGUGGCUGCUCAGAGUUAGUGCACGGCUUUUGACAUUUGAGAGCAACCCACCUCCGAAGCUUUUGAGAGAGAGAAAUCCUUGCGAGGACAAAGCCCAAACACCCAGAGCCAAAGAGUGUUAGGCAUCACUGAAGUCUUUCUGUCCGCGUGAUCUGAAGAGUUGUUACACUUGAGGACUGUGAAUCCUCGAGCCGGUUAGGCGUCGCGUUCUAAGCAUCCAAGAGUCAUUGUGGAUCGCCGGUGAACGAAGUCUGUGAAGGUUUGGAAGUCUACCUUGAAGACUUACCAGAGUGAUUGGGCGAGGACUGGGUGUCCUUAGCUCAAGGGGAAUAAGGUCAGGACACGGUCUUCUGAGUUAAAUCUCAGCCUCCCUAACCAGACGUACAGUUGUCACAGCAACUGGAACUGGUCCAACAAAUCCUUGUCCUCACCAAGCGACUGGUUCUAUCUAUUCCCUCUCUUUAUUUACAGUUAGUCUUCGUGAAGUCAUUGACUACCUGUGUUACCUGUUUGACUUCACAGUGUGACUUCUAUUGUUGUUUGGCUUCAUACUAUCUUCCAUCCUGAUCAUUACUAUCUAGCUGCUAUUAGUCUUCGUGCUUUCACUUCAUUGAAUACUUGACUAUGGCUUACAUAGUGUAGUCUACCUUCCGCUGCAUGUUGACAGGUUCAUUUCUAUCGUUUGUCUUUGAAACUCCCAUGUUUUGAAGACUUUCAUAAAAAUCGCCUAUUCACCCCCCUCUAGUCGAUAACUAGCACUUUCUGUCGUAACUUCUUCCAGGGUUUUUCCUUCAGCAAGAGUGUGCUUGCUUCUUGGCUGGUCCUGGAGCCCGUGGGUUAUGGCCCAUCUCAUCACUUGUAAACCUUAAACUCAUCAUCGGGGCAACAGAUCAUUAUUCCAACAUCCACUUCCUAGCAUUCUUAAAUCCAUCCAAUUGGACUAUCUCCCUUCCUUCUAUUGGUGCCAAACUAAAAUGUGAUUACUCAAACUCAUCAUGGGGUUACAAUUGCUCCAUAUUUCCAACAUCAUACCUCCUUUAUACUCCAAUAGUACUUCAUCUCUUCAUAUUCUUGGGGUAUCCCACAUAUCGAGAUAAAACUUAUACUUAUGAAGUCCACUCUGUGGAACAUCAUUGUCCUUUCCAAGGGUCAAAUCUCCUCAGCUAACUUUAUUGAUUCUCCAAUGAUUACAAUCUCUUGCUUUUCCAUUACAUGCCUCAACUCAUCGCCUCAAUAUAAAGGAAAAUGUUCUCACUACUACUACUAUCUUUCUCACUGACUCAACUAUUCAACACGCAAAUCCUCAUUGGGACAAUCUCGGGCAAAGUGCCCUGCUUCAUUACAGCAGAAACAUGUUACUUUCGACAUGUCUCGUGGUUUCCUUAUAACUACAUAGCCUCCUUGGGUCCUCAGCGUCCUUUUUGGGCAACACCUGAAGUAGUGCCCUGAGUUCUUGCACCUGAAACAGGUGAUAUGACUCAGGUCCUUCCUGGAAACCAAUCUAUUUCUCUUCCUGGACUUUUCCGUUCCAAUCAGGGCUUCUAUUUCCUGUGGGUCAUACCCUAGUUCCUCUGUCGGGAAUUCUACUAGAUCCCCAUUCAAACAAUUCUGGGAGAUGUGUCCUUCUUCUCCAGAUGAAUAGCAUGACUUGGUGCUGGGUUUAAUUGGGUCUUCUUCGGGUGUGACCUCCACCCCUUCCUUCAUCACAGGUUCUUGUAAAAUUUCAAUGAGGGCUCCUUUCAUUACUUCUUUCUUCUGCUGGAUGGUUCUUUGUACCAUGGGGUAAAUGUGACACUGAGCAGGGUAGUGGGUAGUCUGUUCACACAAGUAAUCUGCCUAGUUGGGCAUUCUUACUCUGGGUGCCUUUCUUCAAAAUGAGGGCAUUCCCCCUUGUGUUCUUUAUGGAUGUGUCCUAUUUCUCCACAGAGCUUGCAUGCAAAAGGUUUCUUCAUAUCACUUCCAUAAGCCUUCAGUUUCUGGGACACAAACUGAGACUUUGGCAAAGUCAACUUAAAUUCUUUCCAAGUGGUUACUCCUUGCCAUCCAUUGAUGGUUUGGUACAUCCUCCACCAAGUAGCAGCACCUCUUUCAAAGCACUAAAGAGCAUGCUUAUCCUUUCCGACUAUAGGGUUAUUCUUCACGUGAUUCUCCAUGUUCUGAAUCCAUCGGUCCGUCUCCAAUUGACUUAUCGGUCCAGGAAAUAUGAGUUCAUCUCCAUUCAUCCUCUAUUGGGUCCAUGGGUUUUGGGGUGAGAUGAGAGACAUAGAGAGGGAUGCACACAAUACAAACAAUAGUUUUGAAAAGACAGAUUUUAUUGUGGUUGUCAGAAAACAUCAAACAAAUGACAGCUCACAAUCGUCGCAUCUAACAUAGGUAUAUAACAGGGGUUUGGUCUUCUAAAGGUCAAUAAAUCUUCAAAGUCACCAAACUCUUCAAGUCUUGCUCAUGUCUCGGAUGGCUACUUCCCAUCGUGUUUCGUCCUUCUCAAGUUCUUUUGCCAGAUCUUCUCUGUUGAUGCGAAGUCUCUCAUGACGUCCUUCAAUAUUUCUGGAGUUGCGUUCCAAACUUCUGGGUUUCAACAUCCUUGACAUGAACCAUUGUCCUACUGUCCUUCAGUUCCUGACGAAUCUCCGGUAUCUUGAGGUUUUGCUCCUCCAUCUUGGCUACUUUUAGCUUCUGGGUCCUGAGUUCUUCACAAAAUACUUCUUUGUCAAAUACGGCUUCUUGCAGGUCCAUAUUAACUUCUGCUCCAGAUCCUGGUGAUACACCAGCUAAGGUUAAAACUUCAUCUUUUACUGAUACGUGCUCCAUUAUCCCUUUUGUCAUCUAAUCCUUCCGACGAAAUGCAUGCUUAACUCAGCACGAUCACAAUAGCAUAAGCGGGUGAUAACAUCAUGGAUAGCCUAUGUUUAUGCCCAUGUCAUUGCCAUGAGCUAAACAUUUCCAUAGUUGAUAUCUCCUACCUAUAGGGUUUUCUUGACAAAAACUUUGAGUUCUAACGCUCCAUGUUCUGGUCUUUCUCCGACACACUUUGAUCUCGGGUAUUGACAACUUCGAUUAUCUGACAAGUUCCAUAAGGGUAGCCUUCCUAGGUCAUACCAAUGUGGAAAUUCUUCAGAUCCUUCAAAUUCUCCUAGUCUUCGGAGUCUUCAACCAUUGUAGUUUCCAUUACUAUAAUGCUUGGUAAAAUCCUCUUCAUUCUGAAGUGGCCUUAGUUGUCCGGUAUCUUGUACUUCUUGGAGUGGUCUCAUUAGUCGAAUCUUCGUGUCGUCAAAAGGGGAACGGGGUAUAGUCUAACUAAAAGGGAAUAUUUGAAUAAGCUCAGAAGAGAGGUAAAAGAUCUUUUUGAAAAUAGAGUUGUAGAGAAAAUCUUUCCUAUGGACUUGCCAGUUUCUAGGGGUCACGUCCUACAGUCAACAUGUGCUCUGAUACCAUCUUGUAGCGACCCGACCUCAUACGGUCAAGUCUCUAUGCUUAAGUGUCAUCCCUGGAUCAGUAUGCUGACAAACAAUACUCGAGGAUUUAUAAUAGAGGUAAAUCACAUGUAUAAAGUAACAUAAAUACUAUUACCUCAAUCCAUAUAGCGGAAGUAACAACAAGGUUGUGGAUUCCCAUCAACACCAACGGCAAAGUUGAGUGUAGAAAUCGUAACCCUAACAUAUCACUUACUCGUCGUAAGAUUCCUGCAAUAUGAGACGUUGCAGCCACAAAGGGUCAGUACAUUGAAUGUACUGGCAAUUUCACACUGUAGAGCAAUGCUGAAUAAUGGCUAUCACUACAUGCAUAUUUGGCUGGUGGAGGCUCUAAGUUUAUUUUUGCAUAAAGCUAAUUUUUCCCUACAACAAAGGAAUAUAUAUUAUUUAACUAUAAAGUUUGUUGAAAACAUUGAGAAGGUUCCUCCAACUCAAUCCCAAAAUAAUAAUUAUCAACCCAACAAAUUAAUUUAGUAAAGUGAUGAGAUCAACAUGAUAAUCCAAAUACCAGAGACUCUAGAUGUCCGUAACCAGGGACACGACUAAUCAUGAUUAGUUUGUACACUAUGUAGAGAUUUGCGCACUCUUCCCCACAAGACUCGAUCUCCUCCGUUGGAUUUCUCGCAAUACAUGGUGUUUGAGAAACGGAUGACCGAGACACAGUCUUUCAGAAACAUUAACUCUUUACUCUGGGUAGAUAGUUACGCCUACUUUCCCCUACAUCUGCUAGCCUACCACUGAAAGAGGUCAUGCAACAUACUCAACUAUGCUAGAGCCCAUAAUAGCUUGUGGCUGCACACGGAAGUUUCUAGCAUGAAUAAUCUUAUGACCCCUUUGAGCCUGGGUGGCAUUCCAUAGGAUGAUCACACGGGUUCCCCGGGAUCUCCUAGGACAACGCUGGUAUAUCCCGAGGUGUCUGGGCAAGACAAUCGUAUAUCCCCAGGGUGGCCUAACCAAUCCACCUAGAUGUGUAUUAAAGUGGCCACCUUAAGUUUCCCUUAGAUAAUAUUACUCUCGCAACUUUCAUGAAGUCUCUCAAACCAAUCCACGUCUACAAGCAUAGCAUAGUAGUAUAAGCAUAACAUAGAAGUAACUCACAGGGGUUUGAUAUAAAGGACAAUAGGUUCUACCUCAUCAACUACUUAACAAAACCCACAUAUUAAUCAGAUCCUACUCAUGCAAUGUUUGAGGGUGAAACUAAUGCAUAAAAACUGGGUAUGAAAGGGAUAUGAUCAAAGUGUGAACUUGCCUCAUACUGUUGAUGAAGAUGAUUCACACUCAUAACUCCUGAUAGUUCUACUCGUCACACUCCGGUCAAUCUAGCGUGAGCAAGCAAUUGCAUACAUAAGCACUCAUGCAAAAGAAUCGAAGAAAAAAUCUCAGAAAACUUCGAAAACAAGCAAACAACUCUUGCAACAGAAAACAAUUUCUAACAGUACCAAAAUUAAGUGAAUUUGGACUUGUUAGAAAGUUUAGGUCAAGAGCUUCGAUUUACAAAAAGAAUCAACUCAAACGGAGUUAUAAAACUGUAGUUAUGAUCAAACGAAGUUCAAAUACAAAUCUGUUUGAAUUCAAAUUUUAAAACUUCCAAAAACAGAUUUGGUUGGAUUACUGGAUAGAGGGGAUUAUAAUGAAAAGGUGGGCGUUCGUUUUGUUGGAUUUGGACAAACGAGCGAAAAGUAGCGAAUGUUUGAAGAUCAGGGACUAAUCUGUAAAUAAAAAAUUCACGGAUGGGUGUCUGGACGAAAUUAAACAGAAAAAGAAAAAUCUACCGGACGAACGUCCGCUAUGAAAACCUAACGAACGGAUUUGUUCGCUGCGAAGAGAUAAACAUCGAGUGUUCGCUAUUUAGAGAAUAACGGUUCGAAAUAAAAAAA